rnacentral:rRNA from 1 species
GACGAACGCUGGCGGCGUGCCUAAUACAUGCAAGUCGAGCGCAGGAAGUCGACGGAACCCUUCGAGGGGAAGUCGACGGAAUGAGCGGCGGACGGGUGAGUAACACGUAAAGAACCUGCCCUCAGGUCUGGGAUAACCACGAGAAAUCGGGGCUAAUACCGGAUGGGUCAUCGGACCGCAUGGUCCGAGGAUGAAAGGCGCUCCGGCGUCGCCUGGGGAUGGCUUUGCGGUGCAUUAGCUAGUUGGUGGGGUAAUGGCCCACCAAGGCGACGAUGGAUAGCCGACCUGGGAGGGUGAGCGGCCACACUGGGACUGAGACACGGCCCAGACUCCUACGGGAGGCAGCAGUAGGGAAUCUUCCACAAUGGACGAAAGUCUGAUGGAGCAACGCCGCGUGAACGAUGAAGGCCUUCGGGUCGUAAAGUUCUGUUGUAAGGGAAGAACAAGUGCCGCAGGCAAUGGCGGCACCUUGACGGUACCUUGCGAGAAAGCCACGGCUAACUACGUGCCAGCCGCCGCAGUAAAAC